rnacentral:lncRNA from 1 species
AGGAAACAGAUCAAGAUGCAGUGGUGAACCAGGAACUGAAUCAAGCUGUCUCGCACAUCGCAGACACAGAGAAAUAGAAUCUGCCAUUGAACAUGGGGAGCACAGAGGGGGCCUUCUCCAGUUGAGUCUCUGGUGAGAUCCCACACCUGCCUGCCUUUUGCGCCUCUGCAGAGGACAUAGCUUUGCUAUGCCAGGACUCCUGAAUCACAAAAACUGUGAGCGUUUGGAGGUCACAAAUUCAGUGACUUCCCACAUCCUGCCGCAUGCGUCUAACCAAGUAUUGAAGGCUACACACUUUCUGAAGAAUGCUCCGC